rnacentral:rRNA from 1 species
AUUGAACGCUGGCGGCAGGCCUAACACAUGCAAGUCGAGCGGAUGAAGGGAGCUUGCUCCUGGAUUCAGCGGCGGACGGGUGAGUAAUGCCUAGGAAUCUGCCUGGUAGUGGGGGAUAACGUCCGGAAACGGGCGCUAAUACCGCAUACGUCCUGAGGGAGAAAGUGGGGGAUCUUCGGACCUCACGCUAUCAGAUGAGCCUAGGUCGGAUUAGCUAGUUGGUGGGGUAAAGGCCUACCAAGGCGACGAUCCGUAACUGGUCUGAGAGGAUGAUCAGUCAAACGGGACCUAGGACACGUUCCGGACUCCUACGGAGGGCGGAGUUGGGAAUUUUUGAACAUUGGGGGAAGCCCUAUCCCGGCCAGGCGGCGGGUGUGAGGAGGUUCUUCGGUUGGUAAGGCCCUUUAGGUGGGGGGAAAGGGAGUUAGGUUAUACCUUGCUGUUUUGACGUUACCAACAGAAUAAGCACCGGCUAACUUCGUG